UACGGUCGCUGACGUUGAUCCCUUGUGCAAUGAGCUGCAGUAAGAAUGUGUCGUGGACCAACCAAAGAUCCUCCACACCAAAAUUCCGUACGCCUUGACCCAUGCAAAAAUAUUGCCGCCAUCCAAGGCCAACGACCAGGGUUUAUUAAAAUUACCAUCGUCAUCUUGAAUCAAGUUAUUGUCAAUGGUAUCUGUGAUCUCCAGGCUAGUAGUAUUACUGGAUGUAGUGGAAACUGAGGUUCCGUCUGUAUUUGUAGGAGCUACAGGAAGAAGUGGGAUUGGCCUAGGAGUCGAUGGUCUGGUAGGUCGUUGAUAAGAGGGUCGCAGUGGUCGAGAGGUAGUCUCAGUAGCGGGAUAGAUAGUACUGCCGGUACUUGGC
rnacentral:misc_RNA from 1 species